UGCGCCUGCGGCGGAUCCGGCACGGACGUUUUUUUAUGGCUUCGCAGGCAGCCGUCCGUGUACGAUCUUGUCAAUCCCAGAAUUUCUGGGAUUUAAAGACUUC
rnacentral:sRNA from 1 species